UACGUAGGGGGCAAGCGUUGUCCGGAAUUAUUGGGCGUAAAGAGUGUGUAGGCGGCUUGGUAAGUCCGCUCUGAAAGCCAGGGGCUCAACCCCUGGAGGCGGGUGGAUACUGUCAAGCUUGAGUCCGGAAGAGGCGAGUGGAAUUCCCGGUGUAGCGGUGAAAUGCGUAGAUAUCGUAAGGAAGACCAGUGGCGAAGGCGGGUCUCUGGACAGUUCCUGACGCUGAGGCACGAAGGCCAGGGGAGCAAACGGG
rnacentral:rRNA from 1 species